GGGUUGUGAGGUUAAGCGACUAAGCGUACACGGUGGAUGCCCUGGCAGUCAGAGGCGAUGAAGGACGUGCUAAUCUGCGAUAAGCGUCGGUAAGGUGAUAUGAACCGUUAUAACCGGCGAUUUCCGAAUGGGGAAACCCAGUGUGAUUCGUCACACUAUCAUUAACUGAAUCCAUAGGUUAAUGAGGCGAACCGGGGGAACUGAAACAUCUAAGUACCCCGAGGAAAAGAAAUCAACCGAGAUUCCCCCAGUAGCGGCGAGCGAACGGGGAGCAGCCCAGAGCCUGAAUCAGUGUGUGUGUUAGUGGAAGCGUCUGGAAAGGCGCGCGAUACAGGGUGACAGCCCCGUACACAAAAAUGCACAUGCUGUGAGCUCGAUGAGUAGGGCGGGACACGUGGUAUCCUGUCUGAAUAUGGGGGGACCAUCCUCCAAGGCUAAAUACUCCUGACUGACCGAUAGUGAACCAGUACCGUGAGGGAAAGGCGAAAAGAACCCCGGCGAGGGGAGUGAAAAAGAACCUGAAACCGUGUACGUACAAGCAGUGGGAGCACGCUUAGGCGUGUGACUGCGUACCUUUUGUAUAAUGGGUCAGCGACUUAUAUUCUGUAGCAAGGUUAACCGAAUAGGGGAGCCGAAGGGAAACCGAGUCUUAACUGGGCGUUAAGUUGCAGGGUAUAGACCCGAAACCCGGUGAUCUAGCCAUGGGCAGGUUGAAGGUUGGGUAACACUAACUGGAGGACCGAACCGACUAAUGUUGAAAAAUUAGCGGAUGACUUGUGGCUGGGGGUGAAAGGCCAAUCAAACCGGGAGAUAGCUGGUUCUCCCCGAAAGCUAUUUAGGUAGCGCCUCGUGAAUUCAUCUCCGGGGGUAGAGCACUGUUUCGGCAAGGGGGUCAUCCCGACUUACCAACCCGAUGCAAACUGCGAAUACCGGAGAAUGUUAUCACGGGAGACACACGGCGGGUGCUAACGUCCGUCGUGAAGAGGGAAACAACCCAGACCGCCAGCUAAGGUCCCAAAGUCAUGGUUAAGUGGGAAACGAUGUGGGAAGGCCCAGACAGCCAGGAUGUUGGCUUAGAAGCAGCCAUCAUUUAAAGAAAGCGUAAUAGCUCACUGGUCGAGUCGGCCUGCGCGGAAGAUGUAACGGGGCUAAACCAUGCACCGAAGCUGCGGCAGCGACGCUUAUGCGUUGUUGGGUAGGGGAGCGUUCUGUAAGCCUGUGAAGGUGUGCUGUGAGGUAUGCUGGAGGUAUCAGAAGUGCGAAUGCUGACAUAAGUAACGAUAAAGCGGGUGAAAAGCCCGCUCGCCGGAAGACCAAGGGUUCCUGUCCAACGUUAAUCGGGGCAGGGUGAGUCGACCCCUAAGGCGAGGCCGAAAGGCGUAGUCGAUGGGAAACAGGUUAAUAUUCCUGUACUUGGUGUUACUGCGAAGGGGGGACGGAGAAGGCUAUGUUGGCCGGGCGACGGUUGUCCCGGUUUAAGCGUGUAGGCUGGUUUUCCAGGCAAAUCCGGAAAAUCAAGGCUGAGGCGUGAUGACGAGGCACUACGGUGCUGAAGCAACAAAUGCCCUGCUUCCAGGAAAAGCCUCUAAGCAUCAGGUAACAUCAAAUCGUACCCCAAACCGACACAGGUGGUCAGGUAGAGAAUACCAAGGCGCUUGAGAGAACUCGGGUGAAGGAACUAGGCAAAAUGGUGCCGUAACUUCGGGAGAAGGCACGCUGAUAUGUAGGUGAAGUCCCUCGCGGAUGGAGCUGAAAUCAGUCGAAGAUACCAGCUGGCUGCAACUGUUUAUUAAAAACACAGCACUGUGCAAACACGAAAGUGGACGUAUACGGUGUGACGCCUGCCCGGUGCCGGAAGGUUAAUUGAUGGGGUCAGCGCAAGCGAAGCUCUUGAUCGAAGCCCCGGUAAACGGCGGCCGUAACUAUAACGGUCCUAAGGUAGCGAAAUUCCUUGUCGGGUAAGUUCCGACCUGCACGAAUGGCGUAAUGAUGGCCAGGCUGUCUCCACCCGAGACUCAGUGAAAUUGAACUCGCUGUGAAGAUGCAGUGUACCCGCGGCAAGACGGAAAGACCCCGUGAACCUUUACUAUAGCUUGACACUGAACAUUGAGCCUUGAUGUGUAGGAUAGGUGGGAGGCUUUGAAGUGUGGACGCCAGUCUGCAUGGAGCCGACCUUGAAAUACCACCCUUUAAUGUUUGAUGUUCUAACGUUGACCCGUAAUCCGGGUUGCGGACAGUGUCUGGUGGGUAGUUUGACUGGGGCGGUCUCCUCCUAAAGAGUAACGGAGGAGCACGAAGGUUGGCUAAUCCUGGUCGGACAUCAGGAGGUUAGUGCAAUGGCAUAAGCCAGCUUGACUGCGAGCGUGACGGCGCGAGCAGGUGCGAAAGCAGGUCAUAGUGAUCCGGUGGUUCUGAAUGGAAGGGCCAUCGCUCAACGGAUAAAAGGUACUCCGGGGAUAACAGGCUGAUACCGCCCAAGAGUUCAUAUCGACGGCGGUGUUUGGCACCUCGAUGUCGGCUCAUCACAUCCUGGGGCUGAAGUAGGUCCCAAGGGUAUGGCUGUUCGCCAUUUAAAGUGGUACGCGAGCUGGGUUUAGAACGUCGUGAGACAGUUCGGUCCCUAUCUGCCGUGGGCGCUGGAGAACUGAGGGGGGCUGCUCCUAGUACGAGAGGACCGGAGUGGACGCAUCACUGGUGUUCGGGUUGUCAUGCCAAUGGCACUGCCCGGUAGCUAAAUGCGGAAGAGAUAAGUGCUGAAAGCAUCUAAGCACGAAACUUGCCCCGAGAUGAGUUCUCCCUGACUCCUUGAGAGUCCUGAAGGAACGUUGAAGACGACGACGUUGAUAGGCCGGGUGUGUAAGCGCAGCGAUGCGUUGAGCUAACCGGUACUAAUGAACCGUGAGGCUUAACCUUACAACGCCGAAGGUGUUU
rnacentral:rRNA from 1 species